rnacentral:lncRNA from 1 species
CGCCGCCACCACCACCACCACCGCCACCGCCGCCGCUGCCUCCCCUCGCCUCACUCUCACACUGUGGAUCACAGGCUUCUCCUCCUCCAGGCACCCCUCUUGCCUCAACUCCCUCAUCCAAGCCCAGUGUUCUCCCUUCUCCCUCUGCAGCUGCCCCUGCCUCUGUGGAGACCCCUCUAAAUCCUGAGCUGGGAGACUCCUCUGCUUCCGAGCCAGGCUUGCAGGCAGCCUCUCAGCCGGCCGAGACGCCAGCCCCACAGGGCCAUGUCUUGGGACCACCUGCACCUCCAC